rnacentral:lncRNA from 1 species
UUGGUAUCACAUUACGGAUAAACCCCAGUUUUUGAACUUCACAUACUGCACAAUGCUGGUGAUGUAGCAGCCCUGUUGGGAUUUUGUUAGGGAUCCUUAAUCCUUGUUGUGUUGCUGUGAACAGGACUGUGUUUAUUUGCAGGAGUCCAUUCUCAAUUUUCUGUGCAAAUUGGGGAAGGCUGUUGAUAAUCGGUGGAUGCUAUAGUGCCCAUGGAAAGACUCUAGUCUGAAGAUACCAGUCUCUCCCUCCCAAGAUCACCUCCCCUGACCAACCUUCUGCACUCCUGACAGAUACAAGGGAGCAAGCAAGUUGCACCCAACCUAAUAGUAAAUUGCAGGGACAUUUCCAUUCUAAGGAAGGAAUUUUUGUGUGUGUUGCAACUCAGCUUCUGCUCUGGCAUUUUGCUGUGGUAAGCAUUGCAAGGCAAGGUUUAUAUAGGUUAGAAGAGAAUUUUUUAUUAUGCCCUCUGUGUUAUCAUUUAUUAGCAUUUAUAUUGCCAAUCAUGUUGGAGAGUCCAUGUGGUGAUUUCUGAAAACGAGAUGUGAGAAAGAAGAGGAUAAUUUAAGUCUAGACCUACAGAUUGUGCUGAUAAAGUGAUGAAGAACUACAAUCUUCUUAGUCAUUUCAUUGUAUAAGUGCAAUAAAGGGUAUGUAAUAAAUUUGUAUGUUCAUAUUUACAACGGAAACUGCUUAUCAAUGAAUUUCACGGGGCAUUUGUGUCUUGCCAGAUUUUGUGUCUUUCCUGGCAAACAACUUGUGACCACAGUGAUGGCUCCAGCAGAAUGGAAAAGACCCUUUACCUCACAUCUCAGAAGUAAAGAUGCUGAUUAUUUGACAUCGCCAUUGGAAUCUCAAAACAGUGUAAAGCAUUUGCUAAAAAGAGUCACUUUCUGAGAAAUGACUCAGAAUUCGACUUACGUACUAGCAGAACUUAUUGCCCAUAAAAGGAAAGGCCACACUUUUUGUGAAAACUUAAUAAUCCCUAGGAUGUAAAAUUAUACUGAGUUAAAUCCUAGUCCCAUUUUUAGUACAAGAAACUGGAAAAAAAUAAUCCACUCUCAAAUGGUAAGACAAAUUGAGAUAUUGCUGAAAAGCCUCUUGACCCUGAAAAGUUCUGAAUAAUAAACUGAUAAAAGCAGCAGCAGCAUCUAACUUGACACCAGUCAUGUCAUUUGUAAGUAAGGUUGGUAAAUAGUAAUGAAAUUCAAGCAAUAUUUUCAGCUAUGAAGAGCUGCUCAAACCAAGCAAAGGCCAAGAUCUACUUUAAAUUUUGUCUACGUAUCUUUAAACAAGGCAUCUGUCUUGGGGGCAUUGUGUUAGCAUCUGUACCGGUAACACCUCAUCCAGGGUUGGCUUGAUAAGAGGCUUCACAUUUUUUGUAGAAUAAGAAAAAAACCUGGCAUUGUCACAACACACUGAUUUGUUCAUGCAGUAGUGCUUGGGGUCAAAAACUCUUGGAAUGACCAGGCAGAGUGGCUCACACCUGUAAUCUCUGCACUUUGG